rnacentral:misc_RNA from 1 species
AACGCACGAGACCUGCGGACCUGCGGAAGGAUCAUUAAUGAGAAACUGCCCCUCGCGGGUAGAUCUCCCACCCUUUGUAAACUUACCUUUGUUGCUUUGGCAGGCCCGUCUCCGGACCGCCGGCUUCGGCUGGCCAGUGCCUGCCAGAGGAUUCUAAAACUCUGUCUGUCAGUGUUGUCUGAGUCCAUAUACAAUCGUUAAAACUUUCAACAAUGGAUCUCUAGAUCGGAAGAGCACACG